AAGGGGAGGGAUGGAAGGUAGAGAGACAGAGAGAGAGGAAGGUGAGGGAUGGAAGGUAGAGAGAGGAAGGUGAGGGAUGGAAGGUAGAGAGAGGAAGGUGAGGGAUGGAAGGUAGAGAGAGGAAGGUGAGGGAUGGAAGGUAGAGAGACAGAGAGAGAGGAAGGUGAGGGAUGGAAGGUAGAGAGACAGAGAGAGAGGAAGGUGAGGGAUGGAAGGUAGAGACAGAGAGAGAGGAAGGUGAGGGAUGGAAGGUAGAGAGACAGAGAGAGAGGAAGGUGGGGGAUGGAAGGUAGAGAGAGGAAGGUGAGGGAUGGAAGGUAGAGACAGAGAGAGGAAGGUGAGGGAUAGAAGGUAGAGAGACAGAGAGAGGAAGGUGAGGGGUGGAAGGUAGAGAGGAAAAGGGAG
ensembl:lncRNA